rnacentral:rRNA from 1 species
UCUAGAGCUAAUACAUGCUAAAACCUCGACUUCGGAAGGGGUGUGUUAUUAGAUAAAAAACCAAUGCCUUCGGGGCUCUUUGGUGAUUCAUGAUAACCUAACGGAUCGCAUGGCCUUGCGCUGGCGACGGUUCAUUCAAAUUUCUGCCCUAUCAACUUUCGAUGGUAAGGUAUUGGCUUACCAUGGUUUCAACGGGUAACGGGGAAUUAGGGUUCGAUUCCGGAGAGGGAGCCUGAGAAACGGCUACCACAUCCAAGGAAGGCAGCAGGCGCGCAAAUUACCCAAUCCCGACACGGGGAGGUAGUGACAAUAAAUACUGAUACAGGGCUCUUUUGGGUCUUGUAAUUGGAAUGAGUACAAUUUAAACCCCUUAACGAGGAACAAUUGGAGGGCAAGUCUGGUGCCAGCAGCCGCGGUAAUUCCAGCUCCAAUAGCGUAUAUUAAAGUUGUUGCAGUUAAAAAGCUCGUAGUUGAAACUUGGGUCUGGCUAGCGGGUCCGCCUCACCGCGUGCACUUGUCCGGCUGGACCUUUCCUUCUGGAGAACCUCAUGCCCUUCACUGGGUGUGUUGGGGAACCAGGACUUUUACUUUGAAAAAAUUAGAGUGUUCAAAGCAGGCCUUUGCUCGAAUACGUUAGCAUGGAAUAAUAGAAUAGGACGUGCGGUCCUAUUUUGUUGGUUUCUAGGAUCGCCGUAAUGAUUAAUAGGGAUAGUCGGGGGCAUCAGUAUUCAAUUGUCAGAGGUGAAAUUCUUGGAUUUAUUGAAGACUAACUACUGSGAAAGCAUUUGCCAAGGAUGUUUUCAUUAAUCAGUGAACGAAAGUUGGGGGAUCGAAGACGAUCAGAUACCGUCGUAGUCUCAACCGUAAACUAUGCCGACUAGGGAUCGGGCGAUGUUUCUAUCUUGACUCGCUCGGCACCUUACGAGAAAUCAA